AUGCAGACUUAUUUUGGUUGCGAAGUGGGCAGUUUUCCCAUUAAAUAUCUAGGGAUGCCUGUCAGCUAUACCAACCUUAGAAAUUCAGAUUGGGAAUUCAUUGUUACUAAAUAUCUGAAAAAAUUUGAAGCUUGGAUAGGCAAUGCAGCUUCGAUGGGGGGGAGGAUGACCUUACUAGACUCGGUAGUCACCCAACUAUCCUUAUAUCAUAUGUCUAUGUGGCUCAUGAAUAAAACUUUCAUCGAGCGCUUAGACAAACACAGAAGGAAGUUUUUCUGGCAAGGCUGCAAUAAGAAGAGGAGGUACCAUCUGGUUAGAUGGGAUAGGAUCUGCAGAUCCAGAGAUAAGGGUGGCCUGGGCGUGAAGGAUUUACACAAGCAGAAUGUUAGUUUGAUGGUCAAAUGGUGGUGGAAACUAGAGACCCAAACGGGUAUGUGGCAAGAUAUUGUUCGGGCGCUACCUGACUAA
rnacentral:rRNA from 1 species